UAGCGUAUAUUAAAGUUGUUGCAGUUAGAACGCUCGUAGUCGGAUUUCGGGGCGGGUCGACCGGUCUGCCGAUGGGUACGCACUGGCCGACGCGUCCUUUUUGCCGGAGACCGUCCCUACUCUUAACUGAGCGGGGUCGGGAGACGGCACUUUUACUUUGAAAAAAUCAGAGUGUUUCAAGCAGGCAGCUCGCUCUUGCAUGGAUUAGCAUGGGAUAAUGAAAUAGGACUUUGGUGCUAUUUUGUUGGUUUCGAACACCGAAGUAAUGAUGAGAAGGGACAGUCAGGGGCACUCGUAUUCCGCCGAGAGAGGUGAAAUUCUCAGACCAGCGGAAGACGAACCACUGCGAAAGCAUUUG
rnacentral:rRNA from 1 species